rnacentral:rRNA from 1 species
GGAGACGAAGGGGCAGUAGCCGGGGUAAUAAGAGGGGGGGGAGCUUGGUCCGGAAACACGUGGCGGAAAGAGCACGCAGGCGGGUUCUGCAGGCCGGGGGGAAAACCCAGAGCGCAACGCUGGGACUGGCUUGGAUACGGGGAAAGUGGAGGAGCGGAGAGGCAAGGGGAAGUCCACGUGUAGCGGGGAAAUGCGUAGAGAUGUGGAGGAACACCGGUGGCGAAGGCGCCGUGCUGGCCGAUUUCUGACGCUGAGGCGCGAAAGCGUGGGGAGCAAACAGGAUUAGAUACCCUAGUAGUC